rnacentral:lncRNA from 1 species
UCAGCAUUGACUCUAAAAGGGAAACCGUGUCACCGUAAAACCAAGCUGGAUGCACGCUGGAUCCUGCUCCGGGGGCCGUGCGGGUUUACGAGGGGGGGUUACAGGCGGAAGGAACUCCCGCUUCCUGCUCUCUCAGAAGGACGCCAGGCCCUGGAAGAGCCGAGCUGACCCUGGGCCUCUUCUCUGGGGGCAGGGGGCUCAGCUUCCGGACACUCGGAGGGUGUAGGCAGGAAAAGGUCAUGAGAGCUCGCCCCAGAGAGCCUGGUGUGGAGCUGGACGUCGGGGAAAAUGGCCUCUGGCUUUGCCGCCUCUCCUGGCUCUCCCCCAGGCACGGCUCCUGCCAGGCCCAAGGGCCUCUGGCACUCAGAGGAGGCUCUUUUUUGUAGAGGAUUUUUUCUGGUUAUCGGGAUUUCACUCUUUGCUAUCGAAUGAACCUGAGCCUGUGUUCAGGGCCUGGAGAAAGAGAUUUCUGACUUUGAGUGUUUGGAAUUAGGGGGAAUCUCUUUUUUGGGGGGGGAGACUUCACUUUGGUUGCUCAGAAGGGCCCUUGAGGCGGAGAUGAGAUCUUGCUUUCUGGUGUUGGACAGGAUGGCAGGGAGGAGUCCAGCGGUGAGUGCCCUUAAAUUCUCACAGGUGAGCUUAUGUGGCGCCCAUGGUUUCUAAGCCAGCUUCGGCCUCUCUGAUUUUGGAAGCUCCCCUUUGCACCUGCCCCCUGGGCAGCUGGUGGGCCCUUGCUUGGGGUCCUGCACUGCCUCAGGGGCUCACCAAUUUGAAUACUGGCAUUUCACAGCCCAACACCUCCCACUCCCUGCCUGAAACCUUGGGCCGGCUGGCCUCCCUGGCCUCCUUGGAGGGCCUGAUGAUGGAAUGGGGGCAGCCCUGCAGUUCCUUCUGCAUCUGGGUUUCACCCAGGCCCUGCCCCAAGGUGGUAGCUGCAAGAACAAGGGGAGUAUUGGGGUGUCCUCUGAAUCCAAACUCCCCUGAACUACUCUGGCCCCAGGGCAGGCUCCAAAGAUCCCAUUCCAGGCAACUUUUAGAUCACUUGUGGAAUCACUGGGGAAAACAAGUCUGAAUAGGAUUUGGGGCCAAAUCAGCCCGUUGGGCAUCAUCCGCUUGCUUUGGAAAGGAGCUCUGGGAAAGACCCAGAAGUGGUCCCAGGAAGGUGCGGGCGAGCCGCAGGAGGCAGCCUGAGAGGAGCUGGUUUGAGCUCUGGGAGGUGGGAGCUACAGGAGGGGGCCCGGAGGGAAGCGGGUCCUCAAGGGCUGACACCCGAGCUGGGGACACCCCAGCCUCGCAUGCGGAGAUGUUUGCACAGAGGCCCGGGAGGAAGUGGACAAAGGGAGCAGGGGAGCUUUAGCACGGGACACUCAACAUGGCAUCUUCGGCUUGCAGAGUCCGGGGUGGGGGCUGGAUUACAGGACCCUUGGUACAACGAGGUGACCCUUCCUGGCCCUCCCGCGGCCUCCGAGCGGUUGCGGUCCCAGGUGCCCUUUCUGGCAGAGUGGGAGACCUUUAGCUGGUGGUGCCCCGGCCCGGCACCAAAAAGGCAGCCAAGUACAGACUUCACUGGGCCAAUUAUUUUAAAAUCUAGGGCUGAAGGUCAGGGUGGAGCCUCUGGGCCCCAUGUGCUUCCAAGGCAGCCUCCGGGGACAGAAUGGGAGUUGCCUAUGGGAGGGGAAUGGGGGGGGGGGUGGGAGGAGGCCUGCGGGGAAAGGGGGUCCCGGGAAAUCCUGACUCAGGCCCACCAGCUGCGUAGGCUGGAGUAGUGUAGACCAGAACAGGUCCUGGGUGGGAAGUGUCGGUCCGGGUGGCCAGCCCGGUGUGGUCACCCCAGAUCCAGUUUUUCUCAACAGCUCCCCAGAAGAAAUGCCCGUGUGAUAAACUGGCCCUGGGCGGUGCACUCCCUCUGACAGCGGCCUGGGGGGCGCAGAUGGAGGGAGCUGGCAGAAAGAGGUCGGGGGCUUUAUUGUCCGGGCAGGGAGGCUGCCCCUCCUGAUGGACCCUCUCCGUCCCCCAAAAAACUCACAAAGCCACCAGGAACGCCAGUGCCCCCCAGGUUCCUGUUGAGAUUAAGGGCAAAAAAACGCUCUUUGUGGGUAUUUAGAUAAUUUCUUUCCUAAAGUGUCCCGAGUCCUGGCUCCCGCCAAUGAUUAUCCCAGGGAGAUGGGGGGGGGGGGGUGCUUGGGAGUGUUGGGAGGCCCCAGAGCCGAGGCCGCCCAGGCAGGUGGUCCCGGCCCCUGCCGCCGCCAGGUUCCACGGGGAUUCGCUGUCGUGGGGUGGGAGGCCCGGGCUUCUGCACGGAGACCCCCAAGCUCGUUGGUGGUCGGAAGAAAAGCCUCGUUCCGCGGCGCUGCCUUAGCGGGGGCAGGGGGGGGGGGGGGGGGCCGGGGGGAGGCCGGCUCCCUUGGGCUCCUGGCCGGACAGAGGGGGGGGGGACCCUGGAGGGGGGGAGCCUCCGCGGGCGGGCCGCUCCGUAGGAAGGGAGGGAGGUGGCCAGAGGCCGGCGGGGGGUGGGGGGGGGUGGGGACGAGGGCCGCAGCCUUGGCCCCCUCCCUGCGGUCUCCGGCGCCCCCCAGCCUCGCGACCCUUCUUCCCGCCGCGGCCUCCUCGAGCGGUCCUUCCCGUAUCCUUGCCUCGAGACCCUGAGGAGAAAACGGGCUCAGGACGGGGAGAAAUGGCCGGGCCGACGCCGGCACGUGAAGGGUCAGGGCCGGGCCCGCAGCCUCCCGCCGCCGCCGCCGGGUUUUGCUUCCGGUCUCACUUUGUGUUUUUCACUUUGAGUUUUUUCCCUUCAAUUAAAAUUUUAUUUUCUCCCCUCCCCUCAUCCCGGGAAAGAAAAAACAGCCCCUCCCCCAAUAAACGCGCAGUCCGCAGCCCCGGCCCGCUUGUCUGCCGGAGGGGGGCGCCGGGCUCCCUCCUGGAGAGGCCCGCGGCCCGAGGGCGGGAGCCUUUGUAGAAGCUUAAAACCCAAGCGGCGACGCCCGCGUGCGCCGGGGCCGAGGCUACAGGUGUGCUCUGUGCCCGGCUCCUAACGGAAGGUUCCGGGCUCCCGGGCCUGGUGAAUGUGCCUCAGCCUCAGGCCCGCGGGGGUGGGAGCAGGGCCCAGCGCUUGGCGGGGAGUCCCCGUGGGGCCUGGCGCAGAGAGGCAGUGACGGGCGCCCCGGGCUGCCGGAGCCGUCAGCAUGCGCAGGGAGACUGCUGUCGGCCUCGGGGGAGGCGGGGAGGCCAGGCCGGCUGCUGCUGCAGCUGCUGCUGCUGGCGGGGGCUAAGCCGCGGCCCUGCGUCGGGAGGCGGCGCAGGCCCCUGCCCGGAGAACGGGCCCGAGCCGUAAAGUGAAGGGGCCGCGUGACCCCCCGUCCGCGGGCCCGCCCCGGAGCUGCCGCCGCCGCGCUCCCCCCUUAGCCCCGGUCUCCCUCAGCCCCUCCUUGACCGAGCUUCCUCUUGUCGGACAGCACAAGGGGCCGCGGCCGGCUGGCGGAGGGGGCUCGGGCCUGCGCAGGGAGGCCCCCACGCCGGGCCCGGUGCGGAGGCGCUCAGAGGAGCGAGCUCCGAGGGCAGGCGCGCUCCGGGGGAGGGUUCGGGCCGCCGCCCGCGGCGGGAGGUGGGGCUCGCGUCCGGGUCCUCGCCCCGGAGCCAGUUAUUCCCGACGGCGCGUGCGCGCCCGAGAGCCCCGUGUGUCCCCGUGCGAUGAACGGUUUCUGCAGGGUUUGCACGGAGCUGUGGGCAAGAAUGGCCCCGCCCGACCUGGGAACGGUCCGAUCCAGGUUCUUCUCCUGUAAUCGCCGGCAGCCGAGGGUUCUAGAAAGUCUUGGACUCCGCAGAAUUUGGCGCGAGGCAUCUCCCAUUAACAAGGUCUCCAGAAGACGGAGAAGCCCGAGUGCCGCGGGCGCCUGCAGCAGACAGGCUUUAGGCGUCCUGAUUCUAAGUCGUUUUUUAAAGUGUCCCUCGGUGGGACUCAACAAACAUUGGCUAAAUUCAAUCGCGUUUUACUGUUUGUGAAAUAUACUUCAGGGUUGUUCAGCUCCUGGACCUGAGGGCACGAGCUAAUCUGCUUAUUAGCUUGUUAGACGGGCAUGUGGGCAACUUGGUUGCCAAGAAGGAAAUAUGAGUUAAUUUAAUAUUCUGAAAUCCCCCAAACUGUAAAAUCGGUUCACAUAGACCAAAAAAUUAUCAAGUAUUUAUAAAACUCAUUCAGCGAUAGCUUCUGAGGUAAAACAUUAGGAAGUUCUCUUCCUGUGAGAAAAAAACUUCUGUUGGAAAAUGAGCAAUUUCUGAACAAAAAGCCUAAGAGGAAUUACUGUAGAUACCGUCACAGAUAAGCUCCAGGAAGUCUGUAUUGGCCCCGAUCUUCCAGAGCUCAGUCCCCACUGGCCAGUGGGCGUACCUCACUUAAGGGGUAUGUUCAUUUUGGCCUUUGGUUUUGCUUUUUAAAAAAAAAUUUCUAUUCCAGUUACAUGUAAAAACAAUUUUAACUUUUUUUUUUUUUUAUGAUUUUGAGUUCCAAAUUCUUGCCCUAAUAUUUUGACUUUUUAUACAGUUUUACUGAGUCAGAGCUCCAGAGCAAAGGCACCUGGAAAGCCAGCUAGACCCACCCCUCAUUUUACAGAGUAAAAAAAAAAAAUGGAGGCCCAAGGAGAUUACAGUUGUUUUGCCCACAGUAAGAGCCGGAAGGGCGAUUUUUACUUGGUGCUCCAGUGAUUCUCCCCCAGGGGUCUUGAACCAUCAGUUCUGCUCCUCCAAAGUGCCGUCUUGUGAGAGGUUGGGCUCUGGGCUGUCCACUGCCAUGUGUGCCCUUAGGGUUCGAGGCAGGGGCUCCUGUGUAUCGGGGGCACCUUGUAGACAGCCUAACAAACCAAACGGAGAGAACCCCCCACCCUCCAGAUGUGAGGAUAGCGAAACAUGAAUAGCUGUCGAUAUUUAUCCUGGAGAUACCUGGAGAACAUAAUGAGACUCACCCUGCUAGUGACUGACUUUACGUAGUCUUAAUAUAGACUUGUAAUAUUCAAUAAAUUAGUGUUAAGAAUUAUGUUUCUGCUUGUCACGCUUAAGCUCAGACGCACUGGUGAGACCUUGUGUCUGAAAUGUCAUCGAUAAAUGUAUGUAACUGGUGUGGUGCAUGCCCCGUGAUAAUGCCAUCAAACCCUCUUUCUGCCUCUGCUUUUUCUUAGCUAUGGCCCUUCACUCCGAAUUGUCCUAUUCUGUGCUCAGCUGCCAGGCAAAUGCAAAACAGAUUAAUUCACCUCGAAUUAGCUCGGAAUGCUGCUGUAACAAACAGUUCCUUCAACACUUACUGUUCUCAAAACCCUUCAUGGCUUUUGUUAUAUAACUGAACUUUAUAGGUGGAAUUAAACUGGGUGAGCAUCAUUCCACAUCAUCACUUGCAUUGAAUGUGCGUGAUUUGUGGUUGAACAAACGGCAACUGUGAGGGGUCCUCCACAAAGGGGGGCAUCAGCAGGGGAAGCGGUGGUUUUAAUAUCUUAACCAAGUAAUGUUAUUUUAAAAAGAAUAGAGAAACGUUGUAAUGUGCUAAACAAAAAAUGGUGGUGAAAGGUCAGGAUGGCUGAAGGUUGGCGGGCGAUGCCUUUCAAAAGCUGUUUUCAGGACAGGGCGCAAUUAAUGAAAUUAGAAUUCCUUGUAGAAGGAAAAUAGAUCCUAUUGCCUCAAGUACAGUCAAGAAGGGACAUUUGAGUCAAGUGUAUAUUUGCAUUUGGCACAGAAACUGCAGGAUGGCUGACUACUGCAAGUGUUUAAAUGGAUCCUUGAGGCUAAUGUGGAAAUACAUUUUACAUGACUUCAUUUGUUUAAUGACUAUCCUGUUUCUUGCCAUCUCAGUUGUUAGUAGGGAAGGGGGAAGAAAAUUUGGAACUGAAAAUAAAAAUUACAUGAAAAGAGAA